GACGAACGCUGGCGGCGUGCCUAACACAUGCAAGUCGAACGGUAAGGCCCUUCGGGGUACACGAGUGGCGAACGGGUGAGUAACACGUGGGUGAUCUGCCCUGCACUUCGGGAUAAGCCUGGGAAACUGGGUCUAAUACCGGAUAGGACUCCUGGCUUCAUGGUUGGGGGUGGAAAGCUUUUGCGGUGUGGGAUGGGCCCGCGGCCUAUCAGCUUGUUGGUGGGGUAAUGGCCUACCAAGGCGACGACGGGUAGCCGGCCUGAGAGGGUGACCGGUCACACUGGGACUGAGAUACGGCCCAGACUCCUACGGGAGGCAGCAGUGGGGAAUAUUGCACAAUGGGCGCAAGCCUGAUGCAGCGACGCCGCGUGGGGGAUGACGGCCUUCGGGUUGUAAACCUCUUUCAGCACAGACGAAGCGCAAGUGACGGUAUGUGCAGAAGAAGGACCGGCCAACUACGUGCCAGCAGCCGCCGUAA
rnacentral:rRNA from 1 species